UACGAAGGGGGCUAGCGUUGCUCGGAAUGACUGGGCGUAAAGGGCGCGUAGGCGGUUCGUACAGUCAGACGUGAAAUUCCCGGGCUCAACCUGGGGGCUGCGUUUGAUACGUGCGGGCUUGAGUUCGGAAGAGGGUCGUGGAAUUCCCAGUGUAGAGGUGAAAUUCGUAGAUAUCGGAAGGAACACCAGUGGCGAAAGCGGCUUCCUGGUCCAGCACCGACGUCAGGCACGAAAGCGUGGGGAGCAAACAGG
rnacentral:rRNA from 1 species